rnacentral:lncRNA from 1 species
GCAUAGCUGCCAGACCUCAAAGGUUAGAAAACUCAGCACAGGCUGGGUUACCGUGAGGAUAAUAUGAGGGCAAACCAAAGGGUAAUACUUUAAAAGAGGUAUUUGUCCAGGAGUACAAACUCUACUAUAGGGAGCCUGAACCUGUUAUAGGAGCUAGGAUUGAGGUGCCGGGAUUUGAGAUAUUCAAGAACCUGAUCAUUGAUAGAAUGGUUGAGUUGAGCAUCAGAAAAGUCUGUGAGGUCAUUACCAAGGUUGAGGAGCUAAAGCUGGAGGAGUUCAUUGCUUUGCUUGAGAAGCUGAGUCAACAAAAGCUAGUUGCUUUGAUAGAGGAGCAUAUUAUUGAUGUAUUUUAUGAUGAUAUAUAAUGU